rnacentral:rRNA from 1 species
GAUGAACGCUGGCGGCGUGCCUAAUACAUGCAAGUCGAGCGAACAGACGAGGAGCUUGCUCCUCUGACGUUAGCGGCGGACGGGUGAGUAACACGUGGAUAACCUACCUAUAAGACUGGGAUAACUUCGGGAAACCGGAGCUAAUACCGGAUAAUAUAUUGAACCGCAUGGUUCAAUAGUGAAAGACGGUUUUGCUGUCACUUAUAGAUGGAUCCGCGCCGCAUUAGCUAGUUGGUAAGGUAACGGCUUACCAAGGCAACGAUGCGUAGCCGACCUGAGAGGUUGAUCGGCCACACUGGAACUGAGACACGGUCCAGACUCCUACGGGAGGCAGCAGUAGGGAAUCUUCCGCAAUGGGCGAAAGCCUGACGGAGCAACGCCGCGUGAGUGAUGAAGGUCUUCGGAUCGUAAAACUCUGUUAUUAGGGAAGAACAAAUGUGUAAGUAACUAUGCACGUCUUGACGGUACCUAAUCAGAAAGCCACGGCUAACUACGU